AAUUCUCCCCUCUAGUGAGCAUCCCAUGGACCACCAUUACUACUUGCAAUCACAUAACUUCCUGAUAACUAUGCUAGUCCUGGAUGAACGUGAAACUGGGUGAGGAAGAGCACAAGGCAUUUCUCCACUGCCUCACACCUUGUAUAGUCACUCACCCCUGUACACAACAUUUUAUAUGUGCCAACCUCUCUAUGGCAGAUGUUCAUCUCUGUUGAACAGAGCACCAUACAGAUGUUUUACUGACUACAGGUGACAUGUUUAACAACAAUAAGCUCCAGAAGUAUUGGAAGAGUUUUUAGCUAAGAAUCUGGACAAAAUGAAGGACUUGCAAAGUAUACAGCUAAAGAAAAUAUUAAAAAAAAAAAAAGUACACAUGCAUCCACACAAAC